rnacentral:rRNA from 1 species
GUUAAGUUGCAGGGUAUAGACCCGAAACCCGGUGAUCUAGCCAUGGGCAGGUUGAAGGUUGGGUAACACUAACUGGAGGACCGAACCGACUAAUGUUGAAAAAUUAGCGGAUGACCUGUGGCUGGGGGUGAAAGGCCAAUCAAACCGGGAGAUAGCUGGUUCUCCCCGAAAGCUAUUUAGGUAGCGCCUCGUGAAUUCAUCUCCGGGGGUAGAGCACUGUUUCGGCUAGGGGGCCAUCCCGGCUUACCAACCCGAUGCAAACUGCGAAUACCGGAGAAUGUUAUCACGGGAGACACACGGCGGGUGCUAACGUCCGUCGUGAAGAGGGAAACAACCCAGACCGCCAGCUAAGGUCCCAAAGUCAUGGUUAAGUGGGAAACGAUGUGGGAAGGCCCAGACAGCCAGGAUGUUGGCUUAGAAGCAGCCAUCAUUUAAAGAAAGCGUAAUAGCUCACUGGUCGAGUCGGCCUGCGCGGAAGAUGUAACGGGGCUAAACCAUGCACCGAAGCUGCGGCAGCGAACGUAUCACCCAAGACAACUUUACGGAGUUGACGAUUGACGGAGCGAAGCGACGUCAAAGCGUUCAUUAAAGUCGAGUUGGCUUAGGGAUACGUUCGUUGGGUAGGGGAGCGUUCUGUAAGCCUGUGAAGGUGUGUCGUGAGGCAUGCUGGAGGUAUCAGAAGUGCGAAUGCUGACAUAAGUAACGAUAAAGCGGGUGAAAAGCCCGCUCGCCGGAAGACCAAGGGUUCCUGUCCAACGUUAAUCGGGGCAGGGUGAGUCGACCCCUAAGGCGAGGCCGAAAGGCGUAGUCGAUGGGAAACGGGUUAAUAUUCCCGUACUUGGUGUUACUGCGAAGGGGGGACGGAGAAGGCUAUGUUGGCCGGGCGACGGUUGUCCCGGUUUAAGCGUGUAGGUGUGUGUUCCAGGUAAAUCCGGUUCACUUUAACACUGAGGCGUGACGACGAGGCACUACGGUGCUGAAGCAACAAAUGCCCUGCUUCCAGGAAAAGCCUCUAAGCAUCAGGUAACAUCAAAUCGUACCCCAAACCGACACAGGUGGUCAGGUAGAGAAUACCAAGGCGCUUGAGAGAACUCGGGUGAAGGAACUAGGCAAAAUGGUGCCGUAACUUCGGGAGAAGGCACGCUGACAC